GGAAGCGCGCACUGGACUGGUGCUGGUCUCGGUCUUCAAAACCGAUGGUGCUCCGCGAGAGCGGCGGCACGGUGGGUUCGAUUCCCAUGCGCUUCCG
rnacentral:tRNA from 1 species